UGAGGAAUUUUGCGCAAUGGGCGAAAGCCUGACGCAGCGACGCCGCGUGGAGGAAGACGGCCUUCGGGUUGUAAACUCCUGUCAGGGGUGAAGAAACUUCGCAAGAAGCUGACGGUAACCCCAGAGGAAGCCCCGGCUAACUACGUGCCAGCAGCCGCGGUAAUACGUAGGGGGCAAGCGUUGCUCGGAAUUACUGGGCGUAAAGGGCGCGUAGGCGGCUUGGUCAGUCAGGUGUGAAAUCCCGGGGCUUAACCCCGGAACUGCACUUGAUACUGCCGGGCUUGAGACCGGAAGAGGUGGGUGGAAUACCCAGUGUAGAGGUGAAAUUCGUAGAUAUUGGGUGGAACACCGGUGGCGAAGGCGGCUCACUGGUCCGGAUCUGACGCUGAGGCGCGAAAGCGUGGGGAGCAAACA
rnacentral:rRNA from 1 species